AAGUGCUAAUAGAAAAUCUUCUGUGCUUAGCUUCACUGGAGUGUCAACACUUAAUACUAGUUAUGUAGAAUUACAACUUUAUAUUUAUUACAGUAAAUACACAGGCAUGUAAGGAAAAAUUCUAGAACAGUUUUUCUUAGUAUGGUAAAAAUUUUAAUCACCAUUUCACUUUUGAAGAUCAUUCUCUCUUGCACAGAGCACUAAAUUCAGUACGAGAUCUGCUAUGAUGUUUCUCUCUUAUAUGUAACCAAGAAAUUUCCCAUGCUGUCACUAAGAAUCAGGUAUUCCUCCUGCUUUCUGCUAAAGGACCUAAAAUUAUAUUGGAAAUAUCAUCAAAGGAUAAAUCAUACUGGAUCUUCUUUUGGUUACAUUUAUAGGGUAGGAGCUGCCACUCAGUGACCAUGUCAAGGGCACGUUGGCUCUCAGCCCCAGCCACUCUCCCAUGGCCAGCACACAAGGCCACCACAGCCUGGUCCUGACGUGAUACCCAAGACCGGUGGGUACGAGGGGCAUCUGCUUCACUGCUUCUCAAUAUUGGACCAGUUUCUUAAAACUAUUUUCCAGGAAUAGACAAACCCUACCUGCAAACCAAGAAGACAGAUUUUGGCCUAUGUUUAGCAAUAUUCUCUUGCCAUGAUGGAGAGUAUCCUCUCAUGAACAACGAUUAUAAAUCUGUCAAUCACCCUAUGUAACUUCUCAAAUGAAGCAGCUAAAGCCAUAGCUGCCCAAUAAAAAUCUUUAAACUCUUUAGCCACAGUAGUAAUGGAUAACAGAAUACCCCUAGACUAAGUAUUGGUGGAACAGGAAAGAGUUUCUAUGGUAGCUAACAUAUCAUGUUGUGUUUACAUCAAUACAUCUUCUGAAGUUGAAACACACAUGAAAUAAGAAGACAACAAGCUAAUUAAUCACAACAAAUUCCCAGGGAAGAACCAGGUGCCAACUAGUUCUCAGAUAUAUUUUUCUGAAUCCCACAUAGAAUUCAAUGUAUGCCCCCAAGCCAUAUGAAAAUUAAGACUUUACCUAUUACUAAUGCUCAUUUUUGGACAUUUGGUUAUCAAAUGCUGCCUCUGAUGUUAAACCUUUAAACUGUUAAAAGAGAAACCAAUGUAUUAAUAAUGCUAAAUGUUAAUAUUGUACCAGAUAUUAGAGAAUAUCUUCAACUUAAUGCAAAAUGAUUUCAUCCUUUAGGCCCAAACCUGCACCCCUAGUCAGUAGGAAAAAGCUAGAAUGGAUGUUGCCCCUAAUCCCUCAUGACUGAAGAAUGCACAUAGAACAGGGGGGAUUUAAACCAUGACCCAAAGAUUUAGUUAAAGAAACCAAUGGCUAAAAGAAGUUAUUGAGUUUGCAGGUUGGCAGAUUAAAAAAAGAAGAAGAGGAAACAACAACAACAACAACAAAACAACAACAACAACAACAAAAA
rnacentral:lncRNA from 1 species